UACGUAGGGUGCGAGCGUUAAUCGGAAUUACUGGGCGUAAAGCGUGCGCAGGCGGCGCGUUAAGACAGGUGUGAAGGCCCCGAGCUUAACUUGGGAAUUGCGCUUGUGACUGGCGUGCUGGAGUGUGGCAGAGGGAGGUGGAAUUCCACGUGUAGCAGUGAAAUGCGUAGAGAUGUGGAGGAACACCGAUGGCGAAGGCAGCCUCCUGGGCCAGCACUGACGCUCAUGCACGAAAGCGUGGGGAGCAAACAGG
rnacentral:rRNA from 1 species